rnacentral:rRNA from 1 species
UACUUGCGCCCCGAGUGGUAUCCAGUAUUAGUUGGUCUAAAGCGUCCGUAGCCGGUCUUGUUAGUCCCUAGUGAAAUCUGCUGGAAAACUGGCAGGCUUGCUGGGGAUACUGCAAGACUUGGGACUGGGAGAGGGUAGAGGUACUACUAGGGAAGGGGUAAAAUCCUAUAAUCCUAGUGGGACCACCGGUGGCGAAGGCGUCUACCUGGAACAGGUCCGACGGUGAGGGACGAAACCUAGGGGAGCGAUCGGG